AAAAUUUCUUAUUCAUCGUAGGCUAAGGUGUAAUGGAAACUAUGGCAAUUUAUUUAAUGCAGUGUGCUUACAAGCGUUAAUACAACCUCAAAAUUUGUUUUCGUUCCAAAAAAUCAAUUCGUUUCCCAAAAUAAUUUGAAAUUCAAAAAUGCCAAGGCUGUGGAGCACCUAAUGCAAGCUGGAGUUAAAACCAUAUUUUGUAAUCAAAUCAUUGUUUUUUAAACUUUUGGUGCCUCUGCUGCUUUCUAGGCAGUCUCCAUAGUAACAGAGAAACAAAACCGGAAGCCAGCAGUUGAAAUGGACUCCUGCUGCUGAUAGUGGUUCCGCUUCCAUGGAAACAACAAUGGAGUGAUGGAAUACUGGAAGGCUUUUUAAAUGUAACCUUAAAUAUACAUACUAUGCUUCCUUCCUUACCAGCCCCUUAAAACUAGGUCACAAGCACUGCUGCUCAACAGCGGCAGCCAAGGAUGAAAAUCACCUCUUGCGCAUUUUUACUGCUGGACACUUACUGAGAGAAACAGUGCAUGUGUGCACGUAGAGGAGGAGCAGAGAGCGAGGGAGGGAGAGAAUCUUAAGCAGGCUCCACACUCAGCACAGAGCCCAAUGAUGCAGGACUCCAUCUCACGACUCUGAGAUCAUGACCUGAGCCGAGAUCAUGACCUGAGCCGAAAUCAAGAGGGAGACAGACGCUUAACUGAUUGAGCCACCCAGCAAAUGCUUUUAAAAAUGGAUACAUAUUUUACAUUCUACUUAAGGAUAAACCAGUACCUUCAAUAAGUUUCUCUACAUUUCUAUUAAUUUCAGAUACAGUAAGAAUUUCCACUGGGCUCUGGCAUCGAAAAGAGAAAACCUACUCCCCUUAUUUACUACCCUUUAUGUCAAAAAGUCCCACUGUGCCAAAAACAUGUGUUACGUAUACUGUGUCAACCUGGACUUCUUCACCUUAUCAAUUUCUGAUCAGGAGAGAGGAUGGGGAUAGGGUGAUUACAGAGCCUGAUCUGUGAAAGAAUCGGGUGUAGCUGAAUAGAAAUGAGGAGAAAGUCCAAAGUUGUUCUUGACAUUUUUAGAAACGCUGGACUGCCUGGCCUGCAUUUCUCAGAGCACCAACUCUGACUUGCUACUAAGUUUUAUAGAAGGCACAGUCUAUACAUAACGGAAUCACAAAAUUCUAAUUUAUUCAAGAAGCCAUCACUACGUGGCAUUCCUUUCAUUACAUCGAAUUCUAUUUACAAGAGAUAUGUUACCUUCCUGACACAGCUAAGAAAUUAAGGCUCAGGGAUGUGGAAUGUCUUUCUGAGUUAAAAAGUUAAUAUGAGAGACUAAAACUGAAACCAGGUCUUAUGAUACCACACUUCAGGUGACUGAAUUUGAAGUGGAUUGUGCUAUUGUUACUGAGUAGAACAAGAAAAAUACAGAGCACGGGACAAGUACCAGUGAGUAUGGGAACAAAGAGGAUGAGAAAAUAAGCAUGAGGAGUUGAGACAGGAGCCUAUCAGACAACACAGCAGAGGAGAAUCAGACAGAAAGAGACGGGAAAUGACAGACAAGGACACACGAAAAUUAGAGCUACAAAGAGGUAUAGCCUACCAUUUCUGACUUAUGCUAAGUGUUCUGACAACAAAAGGCAACCUUGAGAAAAACAGUAAUUUAUGGUUCUACAUGUCUACCACAACUGGGGCCAUCAGCCUUUCCACAUAUAAAAAAACCGGGUGAAAUCACACAAAAGGAAUAUGGAGGAACAUGGCGUAGAAGUGGCAUGAUUGGACUAAAAGGACAAUCUACUUUAAUUCUAUGAAAAAUUGUCAUGACAGCAUCAUUGAGAGAAACACAAGCACAGAUACUCUACAUAAUUUUAAACCACUAUGUAAAACAGAAUGAAGUCUAUGAACUUUUUAUUGUUUGACAAUUACAAUUUGGGAAAAUCUGUUUCUUAACAGUUUAUAAAAGUACAAAUGCCUGCAUAACCUGGUUAUUUUUCAAAUGAAACACACUUUGAGACCACUAAUGACAAAACAGUAAGCUCACGAGAAAAAGCAGAUUUACAUUUUCAAAACUUCCUAUAAGAGAAUAGAUAAACUGAACUUAUGUGUAAUUUACAUAAGACUCAAUAUUUAACUAUUACGAUUAACUAAGCUGUAAGUUCAAUAAAACUAUGUAACUCAAGUAAUCAUGAAUCACUGUUUCUCAAAGUGCCUAACUGCUAGUAC